UUCUGAGCGGUGUGGUUAAAGUACAGGCACAUAGAUAUGUCUUGUUCAAUUGCUCCGAUGUGAACUCAUACCUUAGAGCUCAUGCUGAUGAGAUAACUAAUGGACGCAAUUUAAACCUUGAUGUUGUUGAGAGGAUUCAAAACGAUAAGUUCCACGAAUGGUUCCAAGCUCAUGUUUCGACUACAUGCUGCAUGGAGGCAUGGAGGGGUGGUGGCAUGUGUGCUUUGUGUUGGUACAGAACUGCUUGGUGGCUUCGUGCAGAGUAGCUAACAAACUUGCUUGACGAUAUACUAAUGUGUGAGACUAUGUGUUGGUCAAAACUUAGUGUACUCUUAUAUUUAUGUUUGAUAAUUUGGUUCGCUAUGACAUCACGUGCUUAUCUGGAACUUCAUUUUGUACUUUGAUCAACAACAGUUCAUAAUUAAGAUAACGCAACUUGUUUGGAAA